rnacentral:rRNA from 1 species
AAUGAUGACCAAUCACCCUGAAUUUACCCAAUCUCGUUCGACCUCUCAAGAUAAGCAGAGUCCAGCCUGGUUAGUACUUGGAUAGGUCACCGGCAGAGCUUGCGAGGUGUUGUAGGAG